ANNNUNNNNCCAUGCANNNNNANNNNANCAUUAUACAGCGAAACUGCGAAUGGCUCAUUAUAUAAGUUAUCGUUUAUUUGAUAGUACCUUACUACUUGGAUAACCGUGGUAAUUCUAGAGCUAAUACAUGCUAAAAAUCCCGACUUCGGAAGGGAUGUAUUUAUUAGAUUAAAAACCAAUGCCCUUCGGGGCUCCUUGGUGAUUCAUGAUAACUUCUCGAAUCGCAUGGCCUUGUGCCGGCGAUGGUUCAUUCAAAUUUCUUCCCUAUCAACUUUCGAUGUUUGGGUAUUGGCCAAACAUGGUUGCAACGGGUAACGGAGGGUUAGGGCUCGACCCCGGAGAAGGAGCCUGAGAAACGGCUACUACAUCCAAGGAAGGCAGCAGGCGCGCAAAUUACCCAAUCCCGACACGGGGAGGUAGUGACAAUAAAUACUGAUACAGGGCUCUUUAGGGUCUUGUAAUUGGAAUGAGUACAAUUUAAAUCUCUUAACGAGGAACAAUUGGAGGGCAAGUCUGGUGCCAGCAGCCGCGGUAAUUCCAGCUCCAAUAGCGUAUAUUAAAGUUGUUGUGGUUAAAAAGCUCGUAGUUGAACCUUGGGCCUGGCUGGCCGGUCCGCCUCACCGCGUGUACUGGUCCGGCCGGGCCUUUCCCUCUGUGGAACCCCAUGCCCUUCACUGGGUGUGGCGGGGAAACAGGACUUUUACUUUGAAAAAAUUAGAGUGCUCCAGGCAGGCCUAUGCUCGAAUACAUUAGCAUGGAAUAAUAGAAUAGGACGUGUGGUUCUAUUUUGUUGGUUUCUAGGACCGCCGUAAUGAUUAAUAGGGACAGUCGGGGGCAUCAGUAUUCAAUUGUCAGAGGUGAAAUUCUUGGAUUUAUUGAAGACUAACUACUGCGAAAGCAUUUGCCAAGGAUGUUUUCAUUAAUCAGGAACGAAAGUUAGGGGAUCGAAGACGAUCAGAUACCGUCGUAGUCUUAACCAUAAACUAUGCCGACUAGGGAUCGGACGGUGUUAUUUUUUGACCCGUUCGGCACCUUACGAGAAAUCAAAGUGCUGGCUCNNGGGNNNNNNNGNNNNNNNNUNAANUA
rnacentral:rRNA from 1 species